UCUUCCUUUUCUUUUCUCUUUUUCCUUCCCUUUAUUCUCUCAGUUCCAGCCCCUCCCAUUCCUCUAUUUUCUUUCUUUUUCUUUCUCCCCCACCCGACGCCCAUUCUUCUCUUCUUUCUUCUUUCUCUUCUCUUCCUCUUUCCCCCGAACGUUGCAUCUCUCCUCUUCCCUUCCCCCUUCCUCCUUUCUUCUUCUACCCACAGCAGACCAUGAGAGACAUUGAGACCGUGAGAGAGAGAUCCAUCAGAGAGAGAGAGAGAGAGAGAGAGAUGAAUUGAGUGAGACCCAACCCGAGUGUGGAGAGUAGUUCUUGGCCAGUAGUGGUGCAAUUUUUGGAGCUGUGGUGGCUGGGCCACCGUCUAGUAGUGGUGGCAGUAGCUGGGCCAUGAAUUCCUGCCAUAGUCCAGCACGUAUGGAGACUUCAAUUGUUCCCCAACAACGAGUUCAAGGUAACUAGAACGUGGGGAUAUUCGAGUCAUGAGUCCAAUGCAACCAAGACUUUGAUGCUUUGACUACAGGUUCAGUGGAUGUAAUGAAUGACAUCAUAGCGUAGUACUUGGGAUGUUAUGACUGAAGCCCGACGCAAUAGUUAUAAUGGCUGGACCAUGUGUUGUCCGCCUUUUGGUAGACUUUGUUUAUGGCUCGUGUCGCCUGUGACAUUUGUAUUUAUGAGCCAGUCUUUCGGUAUGUAUUUAAUAGCUAUGUAGAAGCCUUUAACAAAUAGGCAUAUUAUGGAUGUACCUUCUGCUAUGUUGAUAACGUUAUUAUGUGUUAUCCGCUGCGUAGAUGUAGCUCUGAUUAUC